UACGAGCAUGUAAGUGGCAAUAACAACCUUUUAUUUGGAAACUACUCUAAGGGUCGCGAAGACCUUCUCUGUCUCUACUAAUCAGUAUUCAGCUUCUUCAAAAGUGGACGCAUCUGUAAAGGUAGAGGGAUUAAGUCUCUUGUACCUCUCAAUGUAGCCCGGGUCCAUCAUAGGUGGAGCUGGAUCCUACUAAAGGGGAACUGGAUUAUGCUGGGGAGGAGCCGGGUGGCCUUGUGGCGGCACGUGGUUGUAUAGCGGCGGUGCCGACUGAUACAGUAGAGGAGCAGGGUUGUAUCGUGGUGGUACUGGAUCCUCUCGGUGUGGAGGUGACUCAUACUAUGGCAGUGGUGGAGGGGGAUCAAACAACUCCCUUUUCUCUUUCCUAGCCUAUUGGGUAGAGAUGAGUCUCUCAAGUAUCUUGAAGAGUCGAUUAAUUUUUUUUAUAAGCGAUCCCUCUCGGGCUGC
rnacentral:lncRNA from 1 species